GGUGAGUUUCCGAUCAGGGGCCAGUCAGAGCUGUGUUUCACCCCUGUGAAAUUAGGACAUUACAACAGCCGGAGGAAGUUGUUGGCAGGAAGAGACAGAGAAUGGAAGCCACCUCCUCAUGAGGUGAGAGGAGAGAGGCCUGCUGGCCCCUUGCAGGGGGCCAGGCCCUCUUUUUCCCCCCUCGACUGGGCUGCGGGGAGCCCAGAGCAGUAUAUUAACUGGACCAGGUGCCUGUGGCCAAAGGCUAGGGGUUUUUUCCCCCCACUGCCCAAGAGAGGCGGUGGCGUGGACUUGAAAGGCCUGCCAGCGGGUUGGAGCUAGCUAGCCCCCGGCAGGCAGGCUCGGUAUUGGAGCCGAGCCAGAUACAGGCCGAGGGGUGGCCCAGGAGCUGCAGAAGCAGCGGAGAUUGUGCAGAGCUGGAAGAAUUCCAGGCAGAGGAUGAGAGAAAGACUCCAAGCAGUCUCACUGCCACUUUCCCCUCCCAUAAUGGGGUGGGAGGAGGCGACUCUGAAUUGAGAGUGAGCAACGAAGAGAAGGGCUGAGGGGCUCGGAGGAGGCCCUAUGCGAGGUUUGGGUGAAAGCAGCCGAAAACUGAAGGAGGAAUGCAGGGGGAAGAAUGCCUCCCAUGACAUGUGGAAGUCGAGCUGAAGCUGCAGCAGCUUGAAACAGAGAGAAGCCAAAACAAGCAGGCUUUUUCUGGGAAAGGACUUUUGGUGAAAACUAUUUGGGGUAUAAAGACUGAGCAAAACCCAGAAACCCUGUACCCUGGAGAGUAAGAGUGGACAUCUUACUCUCUGGGAGGAACCUUCAUGAACCCAGGGGGAAAGGACUCAAAAGCUGACUCCCUGUAAAUCGUGAUGAAGACCUGGUAAAACAAGUGUUCUGUUGUAGUCCAGGAGGAGACCUCAGCAGGGCCAAGCAGCUGGUGGAGGAUCUUCAUCUACAAAUGAUGAACAGACAUUUGGCACACUACAAAAUGAUCAGCAAAAGAAAGGAUGUCCACGCCAUUAAAAGUUCUUGCACCAAACUAUCCCUGACAGACUCUGCCCUGAAUCUCCCAGAUGGAGACUAGAAGAUGUUCCAUAAGCAACAGCGUUUAGGUUUGUUUAGAAGCACAGUGCCCAAAUUAGUGUUGAAAAAAGACAGAAGAAGUGAAAAUACCAUGUGUUAACUCUACACUAUGGAUUGGGAGUGAACUUUCAGUAAUAUUUUCACUUUCCUCUUCAAAUCUGUGAUUUGAUUUAUGACUAUGUGGGAAGGUUUUAAAGUAAACUGGCGGGAGAAAUGAACCCAAAUCAAGAGAGAUUACAAUGAUCCAUGAUUUUAGAUAAGUGAAUGUACAUUGGGGAGAAUGUUCAACUGUAAGUCAAAUAAACCCGGGGUAAGGAAAA